GAUGAACGCUAGCUACAGGCUUAACACAUGCAAGUCGAGGGGUAGCAGGGUAGCAAUACCGCUGACGACCGGCGCACGGGUGAGUAACACGUAUCCAACCUUCCCAUAACUCGGGGAUAGCCUUUCGAACGAAAGAUUAAUACCCGAUAGUACUUAACAAAGGCAUCUUUGAUAAGUUAAAGAUUUAUUGGUUAUGGAUGGGGAUGCGUUCCAUUAGAUAGUUGGUGAGGUAACGGCUCACCAAGUCUUCGAUGGAUAGGGGUUCUGAGAGGAAGGUCCCCCACAUUGGUACUGAGACACGGACCAAACUCCUACGGGAGGCAGCAGUGAGGAAUAUUGGUCAAUGGGCGAGAGCCUGAACCAGCCAAGUAGCGUGAAGGAUGAAGGUCCUAUGGAUUGUAAACUUCUUUUAUAGUAGAAUAAAGUGAUCCACGUGUGGAUUUUUGUACGUAUACUAUGAAUAAGGAUCGGCUAACUCCGUGCCAGCAGCCGCCGCCG
rnacentral:rRNA from 1 species